UCCUCCCUCACGGUGGCCCAUUUAGGCCCAA
rnacentral:piRNA from 1 species